rnacentral:snoRNA from 1 species
GUGCUUGAGGGAUGAAGUAGCCCCUCAUAACUAAUCUCCAUCUGAAUCACUUUGUCAAUUGCCUUUUUUGGUGGCUUAUUGAUCAUUAUGGGAUGGAAAAUGU